rnacentral:rRNA from 1 species
CAUACUGCUCAGUAACACGCAUUUAACCUGCCCUAAGGACGGGGAUAAUCCCGCGAAAGUGGGCGUAAUACCCGAUAGGCGAUAAUUGCUGGAAGGCAUCUUCGCUUAAAGCAGCAAUGUACCUUAGGAUGGGACUGCGUCGGAUUAGCUUGUUGUUGAGGUAAUUGCUCAACAAGGCUAUAAUCCGUACGGGUCGUGAGAGCGAUAGCCCGGAGAUGGCUUCUGAGACAUGAAGCCAGGCCCUACGGGGCGCAGCAGGCGCGAAAACUUCGCAAUGCAUGAAAGUGUGACGAGGGAAUUCUGAGUGACAUCGCAAUGCGGUGUCUUUUAUCUACUGUAAACAGGUAGACGAAUAAGGGGUGGGUAAGACGGUUGCCAGCCGCCGCGGUAAUAACCGCGCCCCAAGUUGUAGUCGCGUUUAUUGGGCCUAAAGCGUCCGUAGCUGGUCUGUUAAGUCUCUGGUGAAAUCCGUCAGUAAACUGACGUAAGUGCCGGAGAUACUAGCAGGCUCGAGACCGGGAGAGGUUGGGAGUAUUCCACGGGUAAGAGUAAAAUCUUUUAAUCCGUGGAGGACUACCUGUGGCGAAGGCGCCCAACUGGAACGGGUCUGACAGUGAGGGACGAAAGCGUGGGGAGCGACUG